GCGGCUAUGGUCUAUCGGUAUGACAUGAGCUUCCCAAGCUCAGGAGGUGGGUUCGACUCCCAUUAGCCGCU
rnacentral:tRNA from 1 species